UUGAACGCUGGCGGCAGGCCUAACACAUGCAAGUCGAGCGGAUGAAGGGAGCUUGCUCCUGGAUUCAGCGGCGGACGGGUGAGUAAUGCCUAGGAAUCUGCCUGGUAGUGGGGGAUAACGUCCGGAAACGGGCGCUAAUACCGCAUACGUCCUGAGGGAGAAAGUGGGGGAUCUUCGGUCCUCACGCUAUCAGAUGAGCCUAGGUCGGAUUAGCUAGUUGGUGGGGUAAAGGCCUACCAAGGCGACGAUCCGUAACUGGUCUGAGAGGAUGAUCAGUCACACUGGAACUGAGACACGGUCCAGACUCCUACGGGAGGCAGCAGUGGGGAAUAUUGGACAAUGGGCGAAAGCCUGAUCCAGCCAUGCCGCGUGUGUGAAGAAGGUCUUCGGAUUGUAAAGCACUUUAAGUUGGGAGGAAGGGCAGUAAGUUAAUACCUUGCUGUUUUGACGUUACCAACAGAAUAAGCACCGGCUAACUUCGUG
rnacentral:rRNA from 1 species